rnacentral:rRNA from 1 species
AAUGAACGUUGGCGGCGUGGAUUAGGCAUGCAAGUCGAGCGAGAACCCGCCAAGGGGGACAGCGGCAAACGGGGUAGGAAUGGUCGGUAACGUACCCUUCGGACGGGGAUAGCCACGGGAAACUGUGGGUAAUACCCGAUAACCUCCUUUCUUGUAACGGAGAGAGGAGCAAAGGUGAGAUUCCACCGGAGGAGCGGCUGACUUAGUAUUAGCUAGUUGGUGAGGUAAAAGCUUACCAAGGCAUCGAUGCUUAAGGGGGUGUGAGAGCAUGGCCCCCACCACUGGGACUGAGAUACUGCCCAGACACCUACGGGUGGCUGCAGUCGAGGAUCUUCGGCAAUGGGCGCAAGCCUGACCGAGCGACGCCGCGUGUGGGAUGAAGGCCCUUGGGUUGUAAACCACUGUCAGGGGGGACGAAAAUGCGCGCGGGUACUCCCGUGCGUUUGACAGAGCCCCAGAGGAAGCACGGGCUAAAGUUCGUGCCAGCAGCCGCGGUAA